rnacentral:lncRNA from 1 species
CUAUCCCCUCCCUCUCUGUGCGCCGCCGCUUUCUCGUCUCGCCCCUCGCUCUCAGGUGCGCCGCCGCUCCCUCUUAGCCCCUCCCUCUCCGGCGCGCCGUCACUCCCUCGUCCCCCUUCCCUCUCCGGUGCGCUGCCUGUCCCUCAUCUCCCUUCCUCCCUUAGAUCUGCACCACCACUCGAUCUGCGCUGUCGUCGACUCACCAUCUCUCUUUGUCGAUCUGCAGCACAAAAAGGGAGGAAAAUGGGGUGCUAGGAAGAAGAGGAGCACGUGCGGACGGCAAGCAGAUGCGUGGCUGCUGUUGCAGCUGGCCUACAGCAGCGAUUGCGAUCUUCCUCCUUGAAUAUGCUUUGGCUCUACAGAUUUUACUGCAUGUAGCUACGAGAGAGAUGGAGAGGAUAUUGAGAUGACACUCGUGGUUGCUUUUUGAUUAAAGUUUGGUGUUCUAUGCUGUUCAAAUUAGUGCCAUAUCCUUUGCAAGGAUUGUUAAUUAGUUUCUCUGAAACAAAAUAGGCACACUCAAAUUGCUAUUGUCUGCUACUCCUACAUCUUUGUAAUAAUUAGUGGAGCCAUUGUUUUUAAAAGAAUGUUGUUUUCCUUGCAAAUAUAAACAAAAAUGCUGCUGAAAUUUUGUAUUUUUGUUAUUCUAUUCUUGAUUCCAUGCUUCCGAACCGAACACAUGAACGGAACCGUUCCAUUCUACUUUUUGCUCAUACCGAACAUAGGGCCGAAACCGACCCGUUCCUCUGGAAUGGAACCAUUCCAUUCCAUUACAGUUGGUUCCUGAACCAAACACACCCUAA